CCCUUAGAUGUUCUGGGCGGCCCGCGCACUACAAUGGCGUGUGCAGCGAGUGCCGAAGUAGAGUUUUCCGAGGUAUUCUUGCAAUGCUCGUUUUGAUGGGGAUAGACCCUUGCAACUGUUGGUUUUGAACGGGGAAUUCCUUGUAAGCAUGGUUUAUCAUCCGACGCUGAAUGCGUCCCUGCCCUUUGUACACACCGCCCGUCGCUCCUACCGAUGAGUCGUCCGGUGAAGUUCGUAGACCUCGUGAUCGCGGAUCACUGGGGGAAGCAAAAUGAACCUCGCGGUUUAGAGGAAGGAGAAGUCGUAACA
rnacentral:rRNA from 1 species